UACAGAGGUCCCGAGCGUUGUUCGGAUUCACUGGGCGUAAAGGGUGCGUAGGUGGCGAGGUAAGUCGGAUGUGAAAGCUCGGAGCUCAACUCCGAAAUGGCAUUGGAAACUACCUUGCUCGAGGGUUGGAGGGGGGACUGGAAUACUUGGUGUAGCAGUGAAAUGCGUAGAUAUCAAGUGGAACACCAGUGGCGAAGGCGAGUCCCUGGACAACUCCUGACACUGAGGCACGAAAGCGUGGGGAGCAAAAGGG
rnacentral:rRNA from 1 species